GGAGAGAUGGCCGAGCGGCUGAAGGCGCACGCCUGGAAAGUGUGUAUACGGCAACGUAUCGAGGGUUCGAAUCCCUCUCUCUCCGCCA
rnacentral:tRNA from 2 species